rnacentral:rRNA from 1 species
UGUCUCCUAAAUAGGGACCCGUAUGAAUGGCUAAAUGAAUAUUUAACUGUCUCUUUUAACCCAUCAGUGAAACUCAUUUCCCAGUUCAAAAGCUGGGAUAAAAAUAUAAGACGAGAAGACCCUGUGGAGCUUAAAAUUUUUAACACAAUAUUUUUAUAAACAAUAUUUAUGCCACAAACUUUGAGUUGGGGCGACUUCGGAAAAAAACAAAACCUCCAAGUGAAAGAGGCACUGCCUAAAUAAGGCCUACAAGCCAAAACUAACGCCGACCCAGUAUUACUGAUAAACGAACCAAGUUACCCCAGGGAUAACAGCGCCAUCUUCUUCAAGAGUUCAUAUCGACAAGAAGGUUUACGACCUCGAUGUUGGAUCAGGACACCCAAAUGGUGCAGUCGCUAUUAAAGGUUCGUUUGUUCAACGAUUAACAGU